rnacentral:rRNA from 1 species
UACGGGGGGGGCAAGCGUUGUUCGGAAUUACUGGGCGUAAAGGGUUCGUAGGUGGCGUGCUAAGUCAGACGUGAAAUCCCCCGGCUUAACCUGGGAACUGCGUCUGAUACUGGGAGGCUUGAGUAUGGGAGAGGGAUGUAGAAUUCCAGGUGUAGCGGUGAAAUGCGUAGAUAUCUGGAGGAAUACCGGUGGCGAAGGCGGCAUCCUGGACCAUAACUGACGCUGAGGCGCGAAAGCUAGGGGAGCAAACGGG